rnacentral:rRNA from 1 species
CCUACGGGAGACAGCAGUGAGGAAUAUUGGUCAAUGGGCGCGAGCCUGAACCAGCCAAGUCGCGUGAGGGAAGACGGUCCUAUGGAUUGUAACCCUCUUUUGCCGGGGAGCAAAAGACGCAACGCGUGGCGUUCCGAGAGUACCCGAAGAAAAAGCAUCGGCUAACUCCGUGCCAGCAGCCGCGGUAAUACGGAGGAUGCGGGCGUUAUCCGGAUUUAUUGGGUUGAAAGGGUUCGCAGGCGGAAGAUCAAGUCAGCGGUAAAAUUGAGAGGCUCAACCUCUUCGAGCCGUUGAAACUUGUUUUCUUGUGUGAGUGAGAAGUAUGCGGAAUCCGUGGUGUAGCGGUGAAAUGCAUAGAUAUCACGCAGAACUCCGAUUGCGAAGGCAGCAUACCGGCGCUCAACUGACGCUCAUGCACGAAAGUGUGGGUAUCGAACAGGAUUAGAUACCCUAGUAGUC